GGGUGAUCUGGCAGUGACAUGGUACCCCAUUGAUCCCUCAGGUUGAUUUGUCUCAUCUGACUGGCUGGGUGGGUAUAUCAUUACCUCCUGACUACUCCAUGUCUGUCACUCCCUACACUACAUGUACAGAUUAAGAGGAUGGCCUUUCCAAAAUAAUGAUGGCAUGGCCUUUGGUCAACGAUAUAUGAAUAGCUGCAUUCUCUUGCUCCAAAUCAACUUUCAAGAGUAAAGAUAUACAAUGCCUGGGCUGGAGAGAUAGUACAGUAGGUAAGGUGCUCUCUUUG
rnacentral:snRNA from 1 species